UUACGGCCAUAUCACAUUGAAACAGCGAUUUCUGUACGAUAACCGAAGUUAAGCAACGUCGUGCCUGUUCAGUACCAAGAUGGGUGACCGCUUGAGAAUAGCAGGUGCUGUAAG